GUCCAUAAAGGCCUAAAUAUAUUGAGACAUUUUAUUAACCACUGACAAAACGAUUCCUCUUAGAGGUUGUUGGCACUUUGGUCAUGUCGACUCCUCCCCCACUUCACCCAUGUUCCCAGGUCUGUAGCGGACCACGCCCACAGAUGUCUCAUGUGCAUCAAAUUUUACUUUGGGUGGGGGUUGGGAUUCAAAGACGUGGCGAAACCCGUGGAGUGCCAGCAUGUGCUAUGAGGAAGGACCCCCGAGAAAGAGGUGAUGGCGAGGACGUGCCCACGUCCCCACCCCUGCCCGAGACGGUUUCAGAACAGAGAUCUCAUGGGAGGCUCUGGAAUUUCCUGGGGCCAUGGGACAAGGACGGAGUGACUGUGCUAAGCCAGUGGUUCUCAAACUUUGCUGUGCUUGUGUAGUACGGUCACUUGGGCAGUUUAUCAAACUCUCCCUUGUCAAGCUGGCAUCUCAGAUUAUUUCAUCACAAUCUCUAGGGGCGGGACCCAGAGGUCAACAUGUUCUAAAACUCCCCUCAAGAGAUUCUAGGGCAGCUGAAGUUGGGGACCAGUGAUCUUAAGUGCUUCUGAAACUUUCGUGUCUAAUACAAGUCAUGUGGGAAUCUCCUUAAAAUGCAGAUUCUGAAUCAGCAGAUCUGGGUGGGGCUAAGAUACAGCAUUUCUAACCUGCUGCCAGAUGAGGUCUAUGUUCUUGUCUACAAAACAGCAAGGUCUAGAUUUCAAGGUGCUGGAAGACACUGCUUUGUUGCUGGGCUAGGUGAAGUUCUCUGAAGUUCAGAGGCUGGACAGUUGACUGCCUGCUGGGAGGACACGAGCAGGCAGGCCCCGGGGAGAAGAAACGGUAAAGCAGGAACGGGAAGGACAGGUGAAACACUGAGCAGUGAGGGGCCAGAGAAGGGCUCUAGAGCCGGGCAUACCUUACUUUGAGCCAGAAGAGGUGUCCAAUAAUGAUCAUGUCAACCUGUAAACGGAGAAUGCAGUUUCCUGGGACUGGGGACACUUUGCCCAGUGAGCAUGAAGGCACCACGAAGGAAGUGAGAAGUUCUGAAGGGCCACGGAGGAAACGUGUGGGAUAAUUAUGUGUGUGAGGAAACCCCCUGAGGAAGGCCAUGAGAUGGGGUGUACCAUGGACAGUUGAGGACCACCCCUUGUUUAAGUCAACAUGGUAACUUUCUUGGCUUCCCUGGA